rnacentral:rRNA from 1 species
UCUGAAUUAAAAAAGGUAAUACUUCUUAGGAAACCUUUGCUCUUUGGCGGCCUUAUUUCUUAUUAAAGGAACUUGUCUAUUAAUCGAAAUUACCCGAUCGUUUUCUCUUCUAUUUGUUUUUAUACCGUCGUCUUAAGAAUAUUGUCAAACUAAUUAUCCUAGCCAGAGCAACCAAAAAAGUCAGAUCAAGGUGAAGCUUAUAUAGAAGCCCUAGGUGAGUUAUGCUUAAGCACUACUAAUGGACUUCUCUUUAAAAAGUUACUCAAAUUAAGAUUCAACAGUACCUUAAAAUUAAAAAUUUUAAGGGAAGAAGUAAAAAAAGGUGU